CUUCACUGCCCGUGUAGACCCAUCCUGAGAGGAACAAGGCUUAUUCGCGACGACGUGAUGACGACGAAGGAGAGCGCCGGCCAUGCAGGGGAUCCCGGCACGGAGCAGACACCAAGGAGGCAGCCUUUAGUCAGUGAAGCUGUUUCUGCAUACAAAGCCCAGGAAUAAGACUUCUGACGCUCGGAUUCUAUGAAACAAUUGGUCAACUUUACGGAGAGAGCACCAGUUGACCACCUGACCUGCAGUUUGACCUAUGGACAUCUUGCUCAGCCCCCUUUAUAAGAGGGGGAGCCAUUACAAUCUGCCUCUUUGAUAAUUCACUGCUCUUACACCAUAACUCCUGCUGAGGAACAGCAAAGCACAGACACCUCAGAUCCCACAUCCAAUACACCUGGAGGCUUCAAGCCUGCAUAUGUCAG